UGGCGGGGAGUGGGGAUCGCCUUGGAGUCUGUCCCACACCCCACACCAAGGCUGGACGGUGGAGAUCCUUGCUUCUCCGGCCUCACUCCUACAUGGGGUUUUGACUUCGUGUUCAUUUUUAUACUUUUUACUGAAAAAAAAAAAGGCGUAGGACACAGGACAGUGGCUUGUAAACAGUGGGCGCCAAAUUGUGUUUGUGGACUUAGGUUGGACUUGACGCACAAUCUAUUUCUGUGUGGUCCAACCAGAGUUCGCAAAAGGGAAGCGACUUGUGCGAGGUCCUAAUCGCGUUAACAAUUUAGUAAGAGCGAGAAAGAUGGUGAGAUAGAUCUUCAUUUACAAGGACCUUAAUACUUAGCUAGGGAGAUAAGGUUAAAUGAUAAUGGUAAUGGUAAUAAUAAUAAUAAUUAUAAUAAUAAUAACCCUAACUUUUCUAUGGCACAUAUUGUUUGCCGGGCACUUUUCUAAGUGCUUUGCAUAUAUUAAUACAUAAGCACAAUAAACAGCUGACCUAAAGAUGUCCACAUGUCCUGUGAAACGUGUGACCAAAUGACAUCAGCCUGGAGUGUAAGAGAUUUUCAUCUGGAAGACACACCAGCAGUCAUUCCACACUGCAGGCGAAUGCAGAAUUGUGAUUCAUCGUGGAACUGACACGCUUCCUGUCAGAGGAUGAAAGGACAGGCGGAGGCCUUCAGGAGAUGGUGCCUCUAAACCCCAGGGGGAAAACACGCGAAGAAUAACAAACCAUCCCAUCUUUAACGAGAAAGAGCUCCAGCUUGCAUGGCUGCAACAGUCAGUGAUGGAGCAAUCACAUGAUUUCAACAGGAAAAACAACUCUGGACUCCGACUGUUUGGAUUGAGCCACAGACUUUCUGGUCUCAGUCCCUGGAGAGAAAAGACAUUCCCAGUGCUGGUGGGAUGGGGGACGGCUGGACGACAAGCCUGGCCGGCACAUGCUCAUACCAGACUGGCCAACUGAACAGAUAUCUCCACGACAGUUGUUCAAAAUCCAUUCUUACAUUAAUGGUGAAGAGAGACCUAGCAACAAAUUAAGAGAAUUACGAGAAGUCACCUCAUCAAUCUAAAUACUGUGCCGUUCUGUAGACUCGUAGUUAAAAACGUGUGCUGACGCCUCCUGGUGGAAGUCAGAGUUACUGCAAGGCACUGGUAAAUUGGCGUCUGUGGGCCUUCCUAGUUCACGAACUGAAUAUACAAAAAUAUGACAACUAUUACUUAAAGGUUAUUGGAAUAAAAAAAUGGAUUCCUUCUACUGGGAAAAGAUGGGAAUCAUUGAUGUAGAUUUUUUGUCUCAGACUGUCAGAGGGACGGUCACAAACUGAAUAGUUUCAGGUUCUGUUUUGGAUAUCUUCUUUUUUAAAAAAUUUUUAAAGUGUAUAUGAUUGUACUUGGUCAUAUCUCAGUUUCUAAGUUUACUAGUGGGUGUGUUAGUGUGUCUAUUCUCUGGCUAGGGUGUCAACUCCUCAAGGGAGAAAGACUUGGAACCCUUAAUUUAAGGCUCUGGACAUUCUGGGCACUUGAAUGAAUAUUAUUGAUUGCCUGGGGAAAAAAAUGGGUUAAGAGCACAAAAUAAAUAUGGCGUUUGUAAUGGAAUCUAUUGAUUCUGCCCGCCCUAAAUCCUUUUCUUUCCCCCUCAAACCACACAGCCCUAGUGAGGCUGUCAGUCAGUACCCUGCUUCGGGCUGAGGGGUUGGCCUAGAGAUUUGGCUCUUUAUAGAGUGACAGGGCUAAUGCUUCAUCUUCAACAGCUGGGCUAACAAUUUCAAUUAGCUAGACCUUUAGUCUCUCUAAUGUUUCAGCUUUUUCUAGUAUGAUUCUGAGACCUUCCUCCCCCACCCCCAGCCUAAUG